UUGCUCUGUGGGAUCAGUGGCGAACGGGUGAGUAACACGUGAGCAACCUGCCCCUGACUCUGGGAUAAGCGCUGGAAACGGCGUCUAAUACUGGAUAUGUGACGUGAUCGCAUGGUCUGCGUCUGGAAAGAAUUUCGGUUGGGGAUGGGCUCGCGGCCUAUCAGCUUGUUGGUGAGGUAAUGGCUCACCAAGGCGUCGACGGGUAGCCGGCCUGAGAGGGUGACCGGCCACACUGGGACUGAGACACGGCCCAGACUCCUACGGGAGGCAGCAGUGGGGAAUAUUGCACAAUGGGCGCAAGCCUGAUGCAGCAACGCCGCGUGAGGGAUGACGGCCUUCGGGUUGUAAACCUCUUUUAGCAGGGAAGAAGCGAAAGUGACGGUACCUGCAGAAAAAGCGCCGGCUAACUACGUGCCAGCAGCCGCGGUAAUACGUAGGGCGCAAGCGUUAUCCGGAAUUAUUGGGCGUAAAGAGCUCGUAGGCGGUUUGUCGCGUCUGCUGUGAAAUCCGGAGGCUCAACCUCCGGCCUGCAGUGGGUACGGGCAGACUAGAGUGCGGUAGGGGAGAUUGGAAUUCCUGGUGUAGCGGUGGAAUGCGCAGAUAUCAGGAGGAACACCGAUGGCGAAGGCAGAUCUCUGGGCCGUAACUGACGCUGAGGAGCGAAAGGGUGGGGAGCAAACAGGCUUAGAUACCCUGGUAGUCCACCCCGUAAACGUUGGGAACUAGUUGUGGGGUCCAUUCCACGGAUUCCGUGACGCAGCUAACGCAUUAAGUUCCCCGCCUGGGGAGUACGGCCGCAAGGCUAAAACUCAAAGGAAUUGACGGGGACCCGCACAAGCGGCGGAGCAUGCGGAUUAAUUCGAUGCAACGCGAAGAACCUUACCAAGGCUUGACAUAUACGAGAACGGGCCAGAAAUGGUCAACUCUUUGGACACUCGUAAACAGGUGGUGCAUGGUUGUCGUCAGCUCGUGUCGUGAGAUGUUGGGUUAAGUCCCGCAACGAGCGCAACCCUCGUUCUAUGUUGCCAGCACGUAAUGGUGGGAACUCAUGGGAUACUGCCGGGGUCAACUCGGAAGGAAGGUGGGGAUGACGUCAAAUCAUCAUGCCCCUU
rnacentral:rRNA from 1 species